AUGGCGAUGAGGGGCGGCGGGCGGGCGCGGCAGAACGCGAUCCGGUCGGGCAUCGUGGUGCUGGGCGCCGCAGCCUUCGCCUACCUCUCCUACCGCGUCGGCUUCAAGCCCUACCUCGACCGCGCCCAGGAGGCCAUGGACUCCCAAAUCCACAGCUCCGACCACGCCGCAGCCGCCGCCGCGGCCGCCGCUUCCGCCUCCGCCUCCUGGGAGGACCAGACUGGUCACCCGGAGGGCGACGGCGGCCUCGCGCCGUCCAGGGACCCGGCCACCGUGCUCCGCGACUGA
rnacentral:rRNA from 1 species